AAAAAAAAAACACGUGAUCUCAAGAUAAAUAAAUUCAUGUCGAGUAAGUUCUGGAAGAAUUAGUUUUCAGUGUGGACUUCUGUGUACCUGCUCUGGAGUAUGAAUACCAUGUGAGAAGCUAACUACAUGGAAAGGGAAGAAUAUUUCCUGGCCUGUGAAACAUGAAAGAGGCAUCAACAGGGAGUUGGAAAUUCAAGGAGGCUUUCGCUGUUGCACACUGCAUUAUUGUAGAUGGAGCAUCACACUGGAGAAACAACCAGUCAUGAGAUAUAACAACAGUAGCUAAGAGGAAAAGAUUAAGACAUGGUGAGAGCAGAAUAUCACACAUUGACUAGAACGGUCUUUCGUGGACAGUGAGGAACCAUGUGGUGUCAACCUGCUUGAAAUUGCUAAGGGGACAAAUACUGUGGCUCACUUCAUUUUCAUACCUUUCACCUCUUACCUCCCACCCUGGAGCUGUGAGUGGGAGUUUGCAGCUAUCAGAGUCAAGAUGCUUGGAGGAGGGGCCAACAAAGCUGGGUCUAGAUCUUUGGAGAAGAGACAUUCUGCCCAAUUGGCAGCACUAAAUCAGAAACUCGAAGAACGUUGAAGAACUGGGACCUAGACCUCUAAGUGGUUGCUUUGCCAUCACUUCUAUCAUCUCUGAGGGGACACAAUGAGCUGAUUGGGGAAGACCCAAUGAAGAGGUCAAAUUGGAACCAACUGCAAGGGCCAUUGUUAAAGUGACACCUGCAGGUACAGCAAACAACUGAAGAAGUAAGUCCCUUUAUUCUUCACAGCCAUCUGGCCUCUUAGUACUUCUUGGCAGAGUCUGACAUGGAAACUCCUAGCAAAGGAGAUAGUUUCUGAAUUACAGCCUUGACAUCAC
rnacentral:lncRNA from 1 species